rnacentral:tRNA from 1 species
GCCUGGGUGGCUCAGUCGGUUAAGCAUCUGACUUCGGCUCAGGUCAUGAUCUCGCGGUCCGUGAGUUCAAGCCCCGCGAGUUCAAGCCCCGCAUCGGGCU